rnacentral:rRNA from 2 species
UACGUAGGGGCCGAGCGUUGUCCGGAAUUACUGGGCGUAAAGCGCGCGCAGGCGGCUGAUCAAGCCUGACGUGAAAGCCCCCGGCUCAACCGGGGAGGGUCGUCGGGGACUGGUUGGCUUGAGGGCGGUAGGGGCCGGUGGAAUUCCCGGUGUAGUGGUGAAAUGCGUAGAGAUCGGGAGGAACACCAGUGGCGAAGGCGGCCGGCUGGGCCGACCCUGACGCUGAGGCGCGAAGGCGUGGGGAGCGAACGGG